UACGUAGGGUGCGAGCGUUUAAUCGGGAAUUACUGGGCGUAAAGCGUGCGCAGGCGGUUCGCCAAGUCAGGUGUGAAAUCCCCGGGCUUAACCUGGGAAUUGCGCUUGAAACUAGCGGGCUUGAGUGUGGCAGAGGGGGGUGGAAUUCCACGUGUAGCAGUGAAAUGCGUAGAGAUGUGGAGGAACACCGAUGGCGAAGGCAGCCCCCUGGGUCAAGAUUGACGCUCAUGCACGAAAGCGUGGGGAGCAAACAGG
rnacentral:rRNA from 1 species